GCCAGACCUCAUUCGGGCAGGUCACGGGCGUGCGGCGGGUCGCUUCGGAAAAGUUGCCGCGGUGCGAGGGACGCGCGUGUGAACGGGUGACCGGUGCCUCCGAACGGACCCGCCCCGGCUUCCCGGCGAGGUUUGACGCCGGGAAGCCGGGGCGGGCCGUCGGCCCACGCUCGGUCAGUCCACGUUCACCGCGCUCCACGCCGCGCCCACCGCUGCGUACUCGGUGCUGUCGGCGCCGUACAGGUCCUUCGCCGCGUCGAGGGUGGCCAUGCGGGCGCCCGCGUAGUCGGUGGAGGAGGUCAUGUAGACCGUCAGCGCCCGGUACCAGAUGUCGCCCAGCUUCUCCCGGCCGAUCCCAAAGACGGUGGAGCCGUCGCAGGUGGGGGAGUCGUAGCUCACGCCGCCCACGUUCUUCGCGCCGCUGCCCUCGGCCAGCAGGUAGGCGAAGUGGUUGGCGAUCCCGGAGGAGUAGUGGACGUCGAGGUCGCCCGCCGCGGUGCUCCAGCAGUCGGCCGAACUGCCGUCCCGGCUCGGCCUGUCCAUGUGGCGCAGGGCGUCGCGGCCGAAGCCGGAUCGGACGACCUUCUCGCCGAUCAGGUAGUCACCGGGGUCGGCGGAGUUGUCCGCGUGCCACUCCACCAGCGCGCCGAAGAUGUCGGACGUCGCCUCGUUCAGGCCGCCGGACUCGCCCGAGUACGUCAGCGCCGCCGUAGACGACGUCACCCCGUGCGUCAUCUCGUGCGCGGCGACGUCCAGCGAGACCAGCGGACCGAAGGUCGUCCCGUCACCGUCGCCGUACGUCAUGCAGAAGCAGCCGUCGUCCCAGAAGGCGUUGUUGUACCGGGUGCCGUAGUGCACGCGGUUGUACGAGCCCUUGCCGUCGCCGGCGAUGCCGCUGCGGCCGUGGACGUCCUCGUAGUAGUCCCAGGUGACGUCCGUGCCGUACUGCGCGUCCACGGCGGCCGAGGCGCGGUCGUCCGCCGUCCCCGAGCCCCAGUGGUUGUCGGCGUCGGUGAACACCGUGGAGGGGGCCCGGACCAGGCAGACGCCGAGGAAGCACAGGUCGGUCCGGUUCCCGGCGUCACCGGUGUAGGUGUCGCCGCGCGUCGGGUCCUUCAGCUGGUACGACGCCCCGGACUGUGUGGUCGUAAGCGGCACCGUCCCGCCGUACAGCGACUUGCCGUCGCCCUCGGCCGCCGACUCGAGGGCGUCCCAGGCGUCGAUCCGGGCGCCCGUGCCCGCGUCGGUCAGCACCGUGCGCGCGACCGGGUUGCCGAGGGAGUCCAGCGCGACCGCGUUCGUCCGCCAGGCCAGCUUCGGGGCGCCGUGCAGGGCGUCGACGACCAGCUCGGGCUCGGCGGUGAGCCGCUUCAGCAACUCGCCCGGGUUGGCGGCGCGCAGUGCGUUCGCGGCGAGGCCGGCGGCCCUGGGGGCCGACAGCUCCGGGGUGACGGUGGGCAGGGAGACGGCCGCCCUCGUCGCGCGGUCGGCUCCCCGGUACUCGCCGUCGGGGGUGAGGUGGACGACGAAGU
rnacentral:rRNA from 1 species